rnacentral:rRNA from 1 species
GGGAUUGCCCUAGUAGCGGCGAGCGAAGCGGCAACAGCCCAGAUUUGAAAUCCGGUGCUCUUUGGGCGCCCGAGUUGUAAUCUGCAGAUGGGUUUUCCGGUGAGGUGCACGUCCAAGUUCCCUGGAAUGGGACGCCGUAGAGGGUGAGAGCCCCGUACUGGCGCGGCGCCGAGCCUUUGUGUUACCCAUUCGACGAGUCGAGUAGUUUGGGAAUGCUGCUCUAAUUGCGAGGUAAAUCUCUCGUAAGGCUAAAUACCGGCCAGAGACCGAUAGCGCACAAGUAGCGUGAGCGAAAGAUGAAAAGAGCCUUGGAUAAGGGCGUCAAAAAGCAUGUGAAAUCGUUAUGGGGGAAGCGCUCGUCGCCAGACGUGGCGGCGGCCGGUUAGUCGGCGUCCUCGCCGACGCACUCGGAUCGUCGCCAGGCCAGCAACAGCUCGGACUGGGGCCUACUGCCGUCGGGAACGUAGCUCCUCUCGGGGAGUGUUAUAGCCCUUCGGCGACGCCCUGGGCCGGGCUGAGGACCGCGCCUUGUGCACGGAUGCUGGCGUAAUGGCGCCUAGCGACCCGUCUUGAAACACGGACCAAGGAGUUGACCUAGCGCGCGAGUGUACGGGUGUCAAGCCCCUGCGCGCAGUGAAAGCAAACGCUGGUGGGAGCCUUCGGGCGCACCAUCGACCGAUCCUGAUGCUCCGCGGAUGGAUUUGAGUAGGAGCGUGCUGGGUCUGACCCGAAAGAAGGUGAACUAUGCAUGGGUAGGGUGAAGCCAGAGGAAACUCUGGUGGAGGCUCGCAGCGGUUCUGACGUGCAAAUCGAUCGUCAAACCUGUGCAUGGGGGCGAA